rnacentral:rRNA from 1 species
AACGAACGCUGGCGGCAUGCCUAACACAUGCAAGUCGAACGAGACCUUCGGGUCUAGUGGCGCACGGGUGCGUAACGCGUGGGAACCUGCCCUUAGGUUCGGAAUAACUCCCCGAAAGGGGUGCUAAUACCGGAUAAUGUCUUCGGACCAAAGAUUUAUCGCCUUUGGAUGGGCCCGCGUUGGAUUAGCUAGUUGGUAGGGUAAAAGCCUACCAAGGCGACGAACCAUAGCUGGUCUGAGAGGAUGAUCAGCCACACUGGGACUGAGACACGGCCCAGACUCCUACGGGAGGCAGCAGUGGGGAAUAUUGGACAAUGGGCGAAAGCCUGAUCCAGCAAUGCCGCGUGAGUGAUGAAGGCCUUAGGGUUGUAAAGCUCUUUUACCCGGGAUGAUAAUGACAGUACCGGGAGAAUAAGCGCCGGCUAACUCCGUG